rnacentral:rRNA from 1 species
AGGGGAGUAUUUUCCACAAGGGGAGAGCGCGUGAGGGAGACGCUCCGUGUGUGAGGAGAACUUUUUCGUGUUGAAAAUCUGUUUUGUGGGAGGAGGGGAAAGUGACGGUACCACAAGAAAAAGCCCCGGAUAAAUACGUCCCAGCAGCCGCGGUAAUAUGUAGGGUGCGAGCGUUAUUCGGAAUUACUGGGUGUAAAGCGUGCGCAGGCGGUUAUAUAAGACAGAUGUGAAAUCCCAGGGCUCAACCUGGGAAGUGCCUUAGUGACUGCAUAGCUAGAGCACGGCAGAGGGGGAUGGAAUUCCGCGUGUAGCAGUGAAAUGCGUAGAUAUGGGGAGGAACACCGGUGGAGAAGGCAAUUCCCUGGGCCCCCACUGACGCUCAUGCAAGAAAGCGUGGGGAGCAAACAGGAUUAGAUACCCUGGUAGUCCACGCCAUAAACGAUGUCAACUGGUUGUUGGGAUUCACUGACUCAGUAAC